GCCGUGGUUUGGUGGUAGAACACCUCUUUUGCGCACAGAAAGUCCCUGGUUCAAUCCUUGGCAUCUACA
rnacentral:tRNA from 1 species